GUGUGCCUACAAGUAGUUAGAGCCCGUUAAUGGGUGAUAGCGUGCCUUUUGUAGAAUGAACCGGCGAGUUACGAUUACGUGCGAGGUUAAGCUUUAGAAGGCGGAGCCGCAGCGAAAGCGAGUCUGAAUAGGGCGAAAUAGUACGUGGUCGUAGACCCGAAACCAGGUGAUCUACCCAUGUCCAGGGUGAAGGUAAGGUAACACUUACUGGAGGCCCGAACCCACGCACGUUGAAAAGUGCGGGGAUGAGGUGUGGGUAGCGGAGAAAUUCCAAUCGAACUUGGAGAUAGCUGGUUCUCUCCGAAAUAGCUUUAGGGCUAGCCUCGUGAUGAGAAUACUGGAGGUAGAGCACUGUUUGGACUAGGGGGCCAUCCCGGUUUACCGAAUUCAGACAAACUCCGAAUGCCAGAUAUUUAUACACGGGAGUCAGACUGCGAGUGAUAAGAUCCGUA
rnacentral:rRNA from 1 species